UCUUCUAGUUUUGGCAUAUUUAAUGCCUCUAACCUCUCCUCGUAACUCUUGUCCUUCAGUUCUGGGAGCCUCCACUUAGAGGCAUGUCUUUGCACCUUUUCCAGUUUGUUGAUGUGCAAUCUGUGAUGUUGAUGUGAUGACAUCAACACAACUGUGAAUUUUGUUGAUGUGCAAAAAUGUGAUGUUGAUGUGAUGAGAGGCAGGGUGAAACAUAUGCUGUGUAUACUUUCUAAAUUGUGCCUAUGAGGUUAAAUGGUUGUAAAGUGUCGCAUAUAGUGGAUGGUUAAGAAAGGCAUACACUACAUUUACUCUUGUUAAGGUAAGCAAAAUCUUUACAUAGUACAUGUACAUUACAAUCUACUUUUUAUUUAUACUGCACUGUAUAACAAUUAUUUUAAUUUUAUGUAGAUUUAUUAUCAUAAUACACUUAAAUAAAAAACUACAUACUGUACAGUAUUUGUUCUUAAAACAUGUGAAAAUUAUUAAUUGGGACUUGGGUAGUUUCAUUUGGAAAGAAUCAAAUCUGUCACAUAUAGUUUUGAGUAGAAGAACUCCCAGAACCCCACCAGGCAGGUAGUUUUUUGGAACAAACUUCACUGGUACAAACGAGUGUAGUUUUGUUGGGUACGUGAUCGUAUAAUUAUCGACUAUUCUGCCAUUCAAAUAUGCUCUCUCUUUCCCAAACCUUGAUUACUACGCAGUAAUACAUUCAGCCAUAUUUAUGUAGUGGAGAGAGGGAUGGAUAGCUUUAUCUAAUAAGCUAUGCAACAUCAAACCUGAUACAGUAUUUCUCAACGGCUUCAUAUCAUCAAAACUGAAAAUGAGAAACCUCGUCCUUAUUAGUGAUGCAGAACUAAUGGAAAGGAAACUUGGCCGUUAUUACCAAAAUUGUCUUGUAAACUGUCACACACUUCAUAGAAGGCACAGAUUUAUGAAAUAACCAUAAAAUCUUCUCCGUCAAUCUCCUUAAAUUGGGUAUAUUGGGAUAUACCCAAUCUUAAAUCAUACGUUAGAACCACUUAGCAGUGAAUGGGAUUUAUUUAUUAUAACUAAGCUUAUACACUGUACAGUACUUCUGCUUUGGAUAAUUAUUAAAUAUAUAUAUUAUUAUUAUAUAAUUAUUAUAAUAAUAAUUGUUGUAUUUAAUAAUUAUCACUUCCUUCUACUUGGUCUUGAAGGAGGCCAGCCUUGGGUGAAAGGGGGCUCUGACGAACUUUGUCUGGAACCCAUCGGUGCGGGACGUCCACCUCCUGAGGGUCGUGUGGCCCAGGCUCUGCUUCAGGAGGCUGGGGUCGUUCAUACCCUUGAUGGGGUGGUUCUUCUCCAGCCACGUUCACGGCAGUCUCCGGGGUUGGAGGUCCCUGUUCCCUUUUUCACCAACUUCGAGGUCAUCCCUGGAACUCUCAGUUCCUGUGACGGCGCUGGAACCAAUCGUAUUGGCGUAUGCCUUUCCAUUGGAGGCUUUCAGCCCUGUGGAGAGGGGGGGACCUGCUGCCUGGGUAACAGCUUCUCCCCCGAAUCAACCUACCCUGGCUUUGCGCCCUGGUGAGGCCACUCCAGACCAGGCUGAUACCAGAGCGCAACUCCAUAGUCUCCUGAGACUGAUGGAUGCCUACUACUACUACUACUACUUCUGUUUUCAUAUAGGCAUCUUGAGUAGCAUAUAAGUAUUCACAGUAUGGUACCUUGGUUUUACCCAUAGCUUGAAUGGCACUAUAAAGCUAUACACUAUAAGCUAUGUUACUGCUUUUUUUAUGAUAACUUGUUUAAUUGUCUGCUUACUGCAACAGAUCUGAGCUUGGUGUUUAUCUAGUGGUAUCAACACAGAGCAAAAUCCAUUUCUUGAGCACUUCCUCUUAGUUAUUAUACCUGGGGCAUUUAUACUUACAAACUUUCCAGUACUCUUCCCUGGUUCCCAUUCUAGUUCGCCCAUUGUUUCAACAGUCUCCCCUUCCCUUUCUGAGACUCCACCUGUCCUAUUAGGUUCAGCAGCACACCCUACUUUGACAGUAGAGGCUCUCCAUCAAUUUUCAUGUACUGUAUUGUGUAGAGUUUCUUAGCAUCUUCCUUUUUUUGCAAUAGCAGUGUGUGGUAUUUUGGAGGGACUGCUACCUGUUCCACUCAGCAGGUGAUGAGCUGUUUCUCCCUGUUAACUGUCCGUUAUCCUUGGGGAAUGCCCUUUCUGUCUUGAUUUGUCAAUUGAUGCCUGUACUGUCAUUUUGUAACAUUUGGUCAAAGCAAAGGCCCUCUGUUACAUAUGGUGGGGGAUGUAUCCUUGUUUUCUUUUUCUAGCUUUCUUUAAGAUGAUGGGUGUUUUCUCAUCUCCAGCUGUCUCAAGUGUUCUUUCAUCUCUGACCAAUUCACACUCCCUCCCACAGCCUUUUGAUCUUUGAAUUGUGUGAAGGUGUUCUUGUCCUUUCUUCACUUUUCUAUUUCUCCCUCUGCCUGUUGGGUUGGAAAGCUUCCUGUUCUUCUCCUGAAGUGGGAAUUUUAUUCCUUUGAUAUUAACCCCUUGUUUGUUAUUGAAUGUCCCUUGGCCUCACAGCACUUGGGCAUUUGGUGUACAGCUGGUGUACUUUUGCCCAAGGCCUUCCUCGCCAGCAGUUCUCCCAUUUAUAAACCCAAUCUGCCUUUUCUGUUUUCCAGUACUGAGUAAACUUGGAGACCUAAUGAGAGGCCCAUCUCAGAAAUCAAGCAUUGACUGAAAUGAAAUUCCUUUUUCUUGUGGGCUCCCAGAAGAUUCCCGCCCACACCAUGUUUCCAUUUAUGCUGUGAAAUUAGUGGUCUUGGCAUGGGUGGCUCUAGGUUAUGGUAACACUGACUGAGACCCUGAGUAACUUGGGUUGCCAUCUGGAGGCAGUAGGGUGCAUCAAGGAAAGGAUAUUUACCCUAUGGCAACAAUUGCUUGUCUUGUUUCCUUUCAGACAGUCACUUGUUUUAGUGCCCCUAAGUUUUCUGGUUGUUUUUUUCCCAGGUUUUGUGGUUGGUCUCUAAUUUUCUUGCUUCCUUGACUUGUUGAGUGAACCAUAUUCUGGUCCCUGCUUCCAGUAGGAGAUGGAUUAAUCCUAGGAGCCUGGUGUGUUUGUCUAAGGUUUAGUUGUACUAGAGUUAACCUCUUGAAGCUAUUUGGGCAACCUGUUCUACAAGGAACAUUGCAUUUCAAUCGUAUGUGUUACAUAAGGCCAAAAAUUGUUGUACUAGAAAAUGGAAGCAGCUUGCAAAAGUGACAUACUGUCCCGUUUUCUGUUUUGGGUCCUCUGGUUGGUUAGGAAAGGAUACUUUAAAGGACCGUUGGGAAACCUUAGGAGGACGGGCUGACUUGUGACCCACCAGCAAAGGACGUUUUAUUACAUUCAAUAUUUCAUUUUUAAGACAGUCAAAUUUGCCCCAAAAAUACAAGUUACAGUAUUAUAUUUUUACAGAGUGCAAAAUUUAUUAAUUUCAAGAAACAGUUCAUUAACUGAUGAGUUCGUAAAGUGCACAUGAAAGAUAUGACAGAUAUCCAAGGAACCUUGUACCAAGGUCUUGUUCCUUGGUACCAAGGUUCCUUGUACCAAGGUCUUGUUCCUUGGUACCAAGGUCUUGUUCCUUGGUACCAAGGUUCCUUGUACCAAGGAACAAGAACAAGAGCAGGUGUCAGUUUGUUUCUCCCUGACUGCCAGAUAUAAGACUUACCUCUUCAGUGAUCAAACUCAUGAAUACAGGACUAAAAAUGUCAUAAAGAACAGUAUUUUUAUUAAAGAUUGUGAAUUAUAAUAAGUGUUGAUUUUUUAUUACAUGUAGAAUUUUUAUACUGAAUAUACCUUUUAUGCCAUA